rnacentral:lncRNA from 10 species
ACUUUUAAGUUUAGGGGUCCAAGUGCAGGUUUGUUACAUAGGUAAACUUGUGUCAUGGGGGCUUGUUGUACAGAUUAUUUCAUCACCAAGAUAUUAAGCCUAGUACCCAUUAGUUACGUCUUUCUUCUCCCACCCUCCACCUUCCAAAAGGCCCCAGUAUGUGUUGUACCUCUCUAUGUGUCCAUGUGUUCUCAUCAUUUAGCUCCCACUUAUAAGUGAGAACGUGCGGUAUCUGGCUUUCUGUCCCUACGUUAGUUUGCUAAGGAUGAUGGGCUCCAGCUUCAUCCAUGUCCCUGCAAAGGACAUGGUCUUGUCCUUUUUUAUGGCUGCAUAGUAUUCCAUGGUGUAUAUGUACCAAUUUUGCUUUAUUCAGUCUACCAUCGAUGGGCAUUUAGGUUGAUUCAAUGUCUUUGCUAUUGUGAAUAGUGCUGCAAUGAACAUACACGUGCAGGUGUCUUUAUCAUAGAAUUAUUUAUAUUCCUUUGGGUAUAUAUCCAGUAAUGGGAUUGCUGGGUUGAAUGGUAGUUCUGUCUGUAGGUAUUUGAAGGAUCACCACACUGUCUUCCGCAGUGGCUGAACUAAUUUACACUCCCACCGGCAGGGUCAAAGCAUUUCUUUUUCUCCACAACCUCGCCAGUGCCUGUUGUUUUUUGACUUUUUAAUAAUAGCCAUUCUGACUGGCGUUAGAUGGUAUCUUGUGGUUUUGAUUUGCAUUUCUCUAAUGACCAGUGAUGUUGAGCUUUUUCUCAUGUGAUUUUCAGCCACAUACAUGUCUUCCUUUGAAAAGUGUUCAUGUCCUUUGCCCACUUCUUUAUGUGGUUGUUUGUUUUUUUCUUGUAAAUUUAUUUAAGUUCAUUAUAGAUGCUGGAUGUUAGACCUUUGUCAGAUGCAUAGUUUGCAAAAAUUUUCUCCCAUUCUGUAGGUUGUCUGUUUACUCUGUUGAUAGUUUCUUUUGCUAUUCCACAAUGUUUUGUGCAAGAUAAGUGCUUAGCAAAUGCUUGUAAAGGAAUGCCUGCACCAGGAAAGUCCAAUAGCUAUGAAUAAAGAAAGAAAGGACAAGUUCCAGGGGAGGUGAUUUUUUUUUCAUUUUCAUUUUUUUAGACAGCUUUUAAAGGAAUGGAGUAGCAUGUUCUUCUGGAGCAGGAGUUACAAAUUGG